AGGGUUCUUGCCUUCCAGCCUCCACACAAGCCUCCCGAGGUAGCCCGCUCUCACACACCACUCCCACACUCCUUCUUCCCUCUUCCAAAGCACCCAGCUGCUCACUGGCCUGCCGCUCCCUCUCUGAAAUCUUCGUGCAUUCCUUCCUUCUCCUCCUCUCUCACAUAUAUAUACUUUCAAUAUAUGUCCUGCCUGGAGUAGAGAGUCUCUCCCAUGCUUUUGGGGAAAAGAAGCCCUUACUUCCCUUCCCUUUGCUGCCUCCUCCCUCGGAAGCCAGCUGGCAAAAGGCAGGUUGGAGAGAUUCCCCAAAUGAAGAACUUUUACAUGGCAAUAUUUUGAAAAUGAGUGAUUAGUUUGGUGACUACAAAGAAAGAGGAAAGCUCCUAGCAACACCCAGAAGCCAUGAUGGAUGGAGAAAGAAAGAAUUCUAUCAGUCCAGCAAUGUAUGAGUUUGAACAAACAUCUGUUUUUUGUUAUAUGUCUUCAAGUCAUUUCCAUCUCAUGCUGAUCCUAAGGUGAAUGUAUUGUGGGCUUUCCUGGCAAGUUUUUUUUUUCAGAGGGAGCUUGCUAUUGCCUCCCUCUGAGGCAGUGCAGGUCUCCAGGAUGAUAGUCUAAUGCUCGCCAUCAUCUAAGUAUAAUUAAAGGCAGUAUAGCAGCAUGGAGGUGCUUCUGAGAUUAAGAGAUACCAUUAUACACACCACAACCACCACUACCCUCAGACUGACCAGAGGAAACAUUGCUGCCAUUGUCAACAAAAUAGAAUAUUGGUGUCCUCCUGCACCAGAAAGCUCUGCCAGCAGAACAUAUCAUUGCCUUGAAGAAAGAAGAGGAAGAAGUUAGUGGGUAUUCCAGCAGAUGUGUAUUUAUGAAGGGCAAGCUCAAGCCAAUUUCAUUUCACACUAAAUGACUACUUUAAGUGUUCCUCUUCCAAACAGAUGUGGCAGUUGAGCAUCCCAUAACUACUAGGUCAACAAACAGGAGUUGUACAGGCAACAUCCCAAAGGGACAAACUGAGUGUGCUCAGAAACUUCUCAGCUCUCACUUUAAUACAGAGCGAGGCUGAGAUUUCAAGAAGAGGAUUUCUUUCAACAAAUAGUGCAGGGGGAGGGAUGUGGGCGGGCCUCAGAUCUGUAAUGUGGUAAGAAAUUUACUCAAAGAAUCUGGAGAACAUGGACAUGGACAGACUAACCUUUUUAAUGAAGAAAUGUUUGGGAAGACCAACAACACUCACUGACUGGAGACAUACAUAGAAAAGAAAGAAGAAGAAAAUGACCUACCCUAAAAGAACUGAGGAUUUGAUGAAUGAAUGGUCCUAGGACUUGAUAGAUGAAAAGGAGACUUGACAAAUAAAAUUGACUAGAUGAAAGAAGAAACUUACUAGAACACAAAGACGAAGAAUGGAAGUAAAAAAUUUUCCCCUACCCAUUUUUUCCCCUUAUUUUUUUUCCUUCCAUUCCCCAAUUUCCUAACUUUUCCCGUUUUCUUUUUUCUUCUUCUUUCUCCUUCUUUCCUCUCUUUCACUCCCAUACUGAUAUUACGCAUAAUGUUUUAUGUAUUUUCUUGUGAAAACCCUUAAUAAAAAUCUUAUUUAAAAUAAGGAAUGCGGAGAACAUAUUGAGUUGAAUGGAAGUGUGGUGAAGGUAAGGAAUUCAUCUGUUUCAUAAGAAAAUGGAGCUCUACUGAACCAAACAUUUUCAUCCAUUUCAUUGCCUUAAUGUGAUGAAGUCAUUAGUAUUGUGAAAUGAAGGAAAGUCUUACAAAAAUGCCAAAAACUGUGAUGAGACAAUAGACUGGUGUGAUAAAAUUCUAAGAGACAGAAGAAGGUUUUGAGGCAUUCUUUACUCUUCGGUGCUAAACCUUAUUGUACUUCUAACAUGAUCUACAACAACCCACAGAGUAAAAUAGUUUCCCCUCCCUGGGGAUGGAAAUGAAGGUUAUUGAGUUCUAAAUUCUUGAUUAAACUAUUCAUUUUGUAAUGCUCAAUACUUGGUACAAAAUAAAAUCCAUCUUGUCUUAGAAAUGUUUACAAUUUCAAAGCUUGUGUUAUACUGAGAAAUGUUCAUAAUUCCAAGACUUGUGGUGCAUACAAACUAUGCACACAACCAUGCCUUCAGUUUAUAUAUCUAUUAUUGGUAAAUGUAAUUUUAAUUAAUAACUGAAAUGCACAUGGGAAGAUGGAAAUAAGAAGUUUCUAAGUAAAAUAAAAAGGACAAUAAUUUCACCACCGUGAAGUGGAUCGGAAGUCAAAAUUCCUCAUCCCUUACAUUUUCUCCUCCCCCACCCUUUUUUUUCUUUUUCUUUCUUUUUUCAGCUUUCCCAGUUUUCCAUGCUUCACCAUUUUUAUUACUUGACUAUAAAAUAUUAUGUAUGUCAAUAAAAAUAUU